GCAUCCGCGACUUAGACCGCGACUCGAGUCGCCAUUCCCGCGGCUGUCAAAUCUGUCGAUUUCCGUAGCAUAACUUGUACCCGCGACUGCAACAGCCGCGUAGAGAACUCAAAGUCGCGGCGCGACUCGUCAGUGUUACCCGGCGAAAUCAAAGUCUAAACAAAUCGAUAUUUGCAAGUGGCAACACUGAAUCGGAAACCAGGGAUGCGCUAAAUCAUUCGUUCUUUGGUGGUAAAAAAUCUGGUUUUUUGUCGAUGGUUAAGUUUUUCCUGUCAAAGUCAAGGAACUUCCAAAUUUUGUCAACAUUUAAUUACGGGAAAAAUAUGAAAAAAAUAAUAAGUUCAGCAUUAUCCUAGACACGAUUGAUAUCCCAGCACCCAAAGGAAAAUAUUGUUAACAGGAACGUGCCAACGGGACCCGAAGUGGAGAGUCAGGAAAAGAAACACACUAGGCAAGCUUGGUGAUAUUUAAUUAUCCUACGCCGCAUGUCGAAGAAAAAGGAAGAGAGACAAUACUUUUCAAGGGUAAUAAAGAAGAUUCUUACAAUUUCUCUAUUGUGGUUCUAGAUGUUAAUAUAUAUUAGGUUUAAUAAUAAGUCGAAUAUUGCAAGAAUAUAUAAGGCAAAGCAAUAUAUUAUUAAUUUAAAUAUUGUUUUUUUUUCUCUCCUGUAUUUUUACCUGAAAAGAAACAAAAAUAAAGUAGGUAGGUACCUAGAACUCCUAGAAGCCAUGAUUAGCUCCCCAAGGCCCACUUUAUACCUAAUGCUGACAACAACGUAUCAUAGCAUGAUCGUAUCAGGCUCUGUCAAACAUGAAGUGAAACAUCUAGAACACGGGUAUGAUCUAGAGGAGUUUCAAUAUGAUAACCGUACCUAUGCUACGCAGACUAUGACAUGAGCGUAACGACUCCUUCAAAUUAUUGUUGGUCGGCUCGGUCCAGUCACGUCACGGUAUGGUGUUGGCAGGGGAUGGAAUGGUUUAGUGGGUGAUGACUGAUAAUAUUUCAUACAAAGCAUGAUUUUGAGCCGGACAUGAUCCUGUUAUAGCCACGUAUUACAUGUACGAUACUGCGGGCACAGGCCACAUGUAGGUAUGUUUUGUUGAAGUCGAGGAAGGUUCCAAACGGUACCUAAAUAGUAAGAGAUUGUUGAAAUUAGACAUCUAACCGUGAUCCUAAAUAUUACUACUAAGACUAAGGCUUACUUAAUAAGUUGGAUAGUUUGUUUUGAACAUUUGUACCUACCCACCUCAUCGGCUACGUUUAUGUACAAGCAAGCGGGCUCCGUUGUUAGGUUGAUGAAAGUUUUGUGUAAGGAAGUCUUAGGAUUACUUUUAUAAACUUACGAACCUGAAUUGAAAUUUAAAAAUCAUACAUAUGUAGCUAUUUACUUAAUUGAGUACCUACAUGCUAGCUGUUUGAAAUUAAAGUUGUAAACAUGAUGGGUGUGUUGUGGUACUUGUAGGUAUCACCGUGCAUAAUCAUCGAUAGAAGAGUGCGUAAAGCGCAUGUAGUGACUGUUCCACACUUCCUUAUUCCUUAGGGCAAUAAGUAAUUAUACAAAUUAUAUUAUUACAUAAUAUAUGAAACUUGUUUUUAAGUUAUAAUUAUCAUGAGUUUAGUUAAAAAAGUACAAGCAAACCACCCGCGAGAGCGUGUCGCGUUAUAAAGUCGCGUAGACUUCGACUCGCGGAUUGACAUAAAGACGAGAGAAUAUUUUGUCUCUAAAUAGGCAGUUGUGCUACGGAUUUUAGUUCAAAGUCGCGAUCGUUGUCAUUUUCUGACAGUGACACCUGAUCGCGAGUUUGUCGCGGCUCUCGCGCGUGAGUUGUGCUGCCAACACGCGACAAGCCGCCAAGUCGCGCCGAUCUGUCACUUCUCGCGCCUGUCGCGGCCAGUUGUGCUAGAGGUGCU